AACCUGGAACCAAGAGCCAAACGGCUCUUUUCUCUCCUUGAGCCGAGAGCCAACAGCUUUCUCUCAGUAUUAUUUGAAAGUGACCCCCUCGCUCUUUAUUUCAAAACCACCCUGGCUUUAUCUCUCUAAAGAAAAUACUCUGCAUUUAUCUACAAAUGAACCCUAGCCACUCCUCCAUUCUCAUUUCAACAUCAAUGUGGUCCUGUGCUCUCUCAAAAGAGGAAAGCCAUCCCCAUAACCCUCUCAACCGCACACAACCUAACCUUCAUCCUUGAGCCUCUUCGCCAUUUCCUCCAUUGCUCUCUGUUCGUUCAAGGGCGUCAUCAUCCUCUCGGGAACAACACCCCAAAAGUCACAAUUCCAUGGCUAAACAUUAUGGAUGCCACCAUUCUGUAGAUUCGUCGCCUGAAAAGUAGAAACAGAAACAAAUCGUGUCAAACACACAGAUCCGAGCAUAAGGAAGGUGGCUUGGAACGAGUGGAAAUCCGAGACGAAGAAUGCUCAAGUUGCAGAUCGAGCGAGUCAAAAAGGAAAGAAUACCCGUCAAGCUCUUGUAACUACAACAAGAAAAUACCCUAGAUCGGCAAAAGCAGCUUGAGGAGAAAACUCUACACUGAAGAAUAGCUGCGUGGCAGCUUGGCAAAACAGAAAGGU